UGGGGAAUAUUGCACAAUGGGCGCAAGCCUGAUGCAGCCAUGCCGCGUGUGUGAAGAAGGCCUUCGGGUUGUAAAGCACUUUCAGCGGGGAGGAAGGCGAUAAGGUUAAUAACCUUGUCGAUUGACGUUACCCGCAGAAGAAGCACCGGCUAACUCCGUGCCAGCAGCCGCGGUAAUACGGAGGGUGCAAGCGUUAAUCGGAAUUACUGGGCGUAAAGCGCACGCAGGCGGUCUGUCAAGUCGGAUGUGAGAUCCCCGGGCUUAACCUGGGAACUGCAUUCGAAACUGGCAGGCUAGAGUCUUGUAGAGGGGGGUAGAAUUCCAGGUGUAGCGGUGAAAUGCGUAGAGAUCUGGAGGAAUACCGGUGGCGAAGGCGGCCCCCUGGACAAAGACUGACGCUCAGGUGCGAAAGCGUGGGGAGCAAACAGG
rnacentral:rRNA from 1 species